UUUUUUUUUUUUUUUUUUUGUGUUGAGAAAUUCAACAAUGUUUUGCUCAGAGAUGGUGCGCGUAUCAGCUCUAAUCACGGCGUAUGAUAAACCAAAAGGACCUAAUUAUUGAGAGACCUCUUCUGACAUUCUCAAGACCUACUUAAUUUUGAUGUUUAGCAAAACCUUUCUACCACCCCCGCAAAAAAACAAAAAUGAAGAGGAAGAAAAAGGCUAAAAAGAAAAGAAAAUUAAAGCAAGGGGCAUAUAUGGAGCGCAGCCAAAUGCGCCGACCAACAACAAUGCAAUUGAUCAAGCGACAGCAAAAUGCCAGAGACUUCGAGGGCUCAUAUGAGCUUAAUAAAUGAUGACGCAUGCGCAGGCUUUGAGGGUCUAGUUUUGUUUUGCAAGUCUUUAGAACACUGCAAGUAAGUUGCGCCUUGACUAAACAUAAAACCGUCAAAAUAGAAAGGCAAUAGAUAGUGUACGUAAUAUGGUCUUAGAAAAUGGGAUUCCAAUUCUUGCUAGGGAGUAGGAUCAUUCUCUUAUAUCUACACAAGUAUUAGGCAAAAAAGUAAUUACUCCGUAUAAGUAUAAUAAGCCAAACGAGUCGACGGUUAGCAGUUGGAAUAUACAGGCGUGUAUACAAUACAGGCGUGGAUAAUUUCAUUUCAUUUUACAAGUUGAGUUGAGAUGUCAUCCAUAUCCCAAUUGAAACUGCGCCAAUUGUAGCCAAAGCUUGGGCCAACUCAUAUACCAAAUUUUGCUGCCGGAGAGGCACGCUUGCCCAGUCGGUCCGUCUGUACAUAGAAAAAACGGACAGCAAUAAUCAGUAAAAGAGCAUAUAAAAUUUCUCAAGAGUGAAGUAGUGUUGGUUUCGGUCGUAUGGAAUAUCUACUAACAACACAUCCCACAACCAGGAUUCAUAUAACAAAAUUACGUUCCCUUUUCUAAGGGGAAACAUCCAAAAGAAAGAAUAGCCUUCUUGCCAGCUUCGUGCACUAACCUUUCAUGUGAUCAAUCUUGUCUGGUUAGUGUCAUUGAACCUUGUACUAGAUGAGUUAGUAAGAGCUACCAAGAGAGACAUUUUUUGGUUGGUUACCGCCCUCAUUUAAAGCCAUCUCAUUUUACUUCUAGGUUAGGAAGACCAAAAUGACGAGAACGGACAUAAACCAGAAGAGCCAGCACGUACCCUAAAUCAGCAACCACAAUGCUGAUGUUAUCUUGUGACCCUCGUUCCUGUAGUAAUUAGCAAAUUUUCGGCAUAAGAGCUAUAAAAGCAAAUGAAUCUCAGAACGACCAUGGAGACAGUUUUUUUUUUUUUGAGUUGCAGUUUCCGUUUAUUACCAGUGCCGUCUGAGCAAGGGCUUCACAAGCUCUCUGUAAUCAGAGCAAAGAAAAUUAGAUAAUGCCUACUGUACUGCGGGAUCAAUUAAGGAGCCAUGGCAGAUUCCUUACCUGCACAUCUCCAUGUUCUCGAAGUUGAUUUCUAACAAAAUCAACUGCAUCUGAACUGAAACAUCGUAAAAUUUCUCAACCAUUAUGCUCUUCAGGAUGACUGGAUUACCAGUAUAAGGAAGAUGAAUGAAUGACUAAUUGCUUGAUAGGGCAAAAGGGCAAACUUCCAAAAGCUCUAAGAAUAAAACCUGUUUACGUAAUCCCACAAUCCAUCAGAUGCUAAUAUUACACAUUCAGCAUCUGAUUCCAAAGCAACUUGGGAAACAUCAGGACAUGCUGUAACCAAGUCUCCAGUAAAUUGUAUCCUGAAAUAAUCCCAAAAGGCUCUUGCAUUAUAAAAGAGAAGUUUGCAAAUUUUUUAUUAAUUCAAGAGUGGACUUCCUAAGGGAAGUCUAACUUAAAACUUCUCUUGAAGUGCAUUUGAGAUUUAUCAUGCUUCCAGCCUUAGUACCAAAUCUGUAAUGACCUAGGGAAUCAUCUUAUAAAAAUUUGAUUUGGCAUUUAUCUCACAUUUGGAACACAAUCUGACUCAUCAUUUUUUGCAUAAAAAUAAUUCAACAAAGGAUAACCUAAGGACAGCCCAAGAAAAUUUGAUUUUCCUGCACUGUAGAAGUGGUUGAUACUGAAUAGACAAAAUGUUAAAAACAGAUUCCACCAUAAUUAUUAUGGUCCAGCGCUUUAGGGACAACUAAAUUCACCACUCUAGUUUCAGCAGUGAUAAGAAUACAAGUGAACGAAAUACAUUUGUUUGUAGAAAAUGGAAUAUCACGUACCUGGAAAUGAACUUUUGGGACCACCUGCCUUCCUCAACUCCCUUCUCCAGCAUCCUUCACAGCAACAUGUAUAAAUAUUAACAGAAGAUUCAUAAUGCAUAGGAUCUCUUAGAUUCUCAAGUAGAUAUAUGGCAUGGCAACAAAUUCAUUGUGUCAAUUGAGGAUAAUGAGGAAUACACAUACUCAUUCUUCCUGGUCUUAAACCGCACGUCACCAAAAGCACGUGACACUGCAAUGUCUCCACAAAUUCUGCCAUUGCUUAUCUGUAGACACCACAUAAAAAAUUUCCAUUAUGUCUAUAUUUCUAUGCCCUGUUCUUAAAUUGCAAGAUAUGUCAGAACAAAAUGAGCUUAAUUGCGACAGGGAUAGCAAAAAAACUGUGUUAGCAAAAAGAAGGGGAAAAAAUUAAGGCAAGACUAUUCCACACCAUCCCAGGGAAAAGGUAAAAGUCUAGCAUUGUUUGUAAACUAAAAUGGAAUUAGCUUCAAUGUAUAGCCCUCAACUUGUAUUGAGCAGUUGUUAUCGACUUGAGCAAAAAAACAAAAAAGAAUUGUCCCCUAAAGUACCUAGUCAGCUAAGAACAAGGAGCAUAUUGAAAUUCAAGAAGUGUUAUUCAUUGUUUGAGUAGCAUAUUGGAAUUUUCAUGGCCAGUAAAUGCCCACUUGGUAAGGACUUGUCAUAGUAAUGGUAUUAAAAGACAUGACUUUAUCAGUUUUUCCUUUGAGAGAUUGAAUUUAACUCCAGAUGCAACACCGUGAAGGUUUUCAGAGCAUAGCAAAUGCAGAAAGAUCUAAUUCUAAGGGCAGCAUAAUCAUUCUAGACAAGAUAGCUGAUACAACUGAAAGAAAAGCAAUCAAAUUAAGAAUUCAAGAAAAGAAAACACACCCAUCCACCUGCUUCUCUGAUACGCCUGAUUUCUUCGAGAGACGCUUUGUUGCUUCCAUAUGGACGAUGAGAACUGGUUAACACUUCUGCUUUUCCAGAUCGUGACAGCACCUAAACCAAAGUGAUUGAUAAAGGAAAAGAGCUGGGUUUGGCAUCUGUUUGGUAUGAGUAGACCAUCACAAAAAAAAUGGAAAAGCAUAAUCAUGAAAACUUCAAAGAGAUUACCACGCAUGAGUCACCAACGUGAGAGAUGAACAAUGUAUCAUCUCCAAUUAGGAUCACAGUAGCUGUUGAGCCAGAAUCCCUCUCCUCAGCGCUCGUCUCAAGCCUUUACAAAAUCAAACAGCGUCUAAACCUUCAACGCAAUCAUAUACAAUGUAGAAUCAUAUUGAGACUAGAUUACAUGUCCAGCGCACAGAUAUUAAUGAGGCAGUAAGAAUCUUCACCAGGAAUAUACAUGGGUUUACCAGUUCAAGAGUUUCAUAUCAGCACUUUCAAAAGCCUCUUCUAACGCCUUCUUUACUGUGUCAAACCCCUUCUCCCUCAGUAAAAGUCCACCUUGUAAUGCUGCCACGCAUUCUUUGUACAACUCAUUUCUGGAACCAGUACAUUGAAUUAAGCAUCAAUUUUUCCCCAGUAAAAAGUAAUGUGGCGGUAGAAAUCAUGAAAGUUAACUGUAGCAGACCCCAGAAAAACCAUGAAGUUACUGGCACAAAAGUGAGGUUAAAUUACACAAUAGUAUUUUUUUUAGUAGUGAUUGAUUAGUGACACUUAGAUGAUCGCUGAAUACAUCCAGGGACUCCCUAUAGGAUUCAAUAAAAAUGGAGAAGCAAUUUAGAAAGCUGCAAAAGAUGGUACGGAUGACUCAGAGCAUCAAAAGCUCAUGCACUUCCCCCCCCCCCCCCCCUCUUAAUGGUUCGUAUGUAAUAAGCCACAGCACCAAUUAGCCAAACCUGAGAAAUUUGACAGAAGAGAAACCAGCAUGGCCGUCGAAAACAGCUGCAUAAGAGAAGCCAGCAAGAUCCUCUGACCGAACAAUAAUGACAUCAUCCUCCAUCUCUUCGCGGACACCUUGUACAAGGGAAGAACCCCAUCUAAUGCUGGAAACACCUGUCAAAGAAGAUGGGGCAUCAAUUGCAAUGGCUGAGCAGCAUCUGCCUCCCCCACCCUUAACCGCGACGGUGUUUUUUGUGGCCUUGUUGUUCAAUUCGUAGUUGCAGUAUCCCCUGUGGUUUAAGAGAAACCUCCGAAGUUGUGGGCUAGACAAAGCCAUUAAUGAAGUAGAAGUCUUGAUGAAAAGCAGAGCUUCAGAGGGGUUCCUGAACAACCUUUGAAGUUGCCAGCUUCUGCUGCUGUUUAUAGUACGGUGAGAAUGGGCCAAAGGAAAGCGUGUGGUUUAGAACGGGAAGGAUAAGAUUCUGGGAACGAAGCCUCACCUCUAACUAAUUUUAGCGGCUUAGAUUUCAGAUUCUGUCCACUCCAGAACAAAAAUUAUUAGUUCAAUUAUUCUUACAGAUCAAAUUUAUUAUUACAAGUUUUCUGGGAUGGAACCUCCAAGGAUAGGAAAUGGGAAUCACCAGCUCCAGUCAUGUCAACCGUAGAAUUUCGAUGUAAACCUGAAUUAUAAAUGAGUUGAUGCAAAAUUUACUACUAUUGUUGUGCUAAUUUAUUAGGUAAUUGGACAGACCCGUAACUAGAGUGGCCCGAAUUCACAAGGAUAUAUCAAUUAAUAGAUAACCCAAAAUUACACACUAAAACAAAAUGGAUUAAGUGACAACUUAGCUUUGGAUGUACGCUUACAUGUGCAUGAUUUAAAUUUUAAAUUUAAAUUUAUAUUAUAUAGCAAUGAUUUAAAUCUACCAACAUAAAAAUUAUAUACUGAGAGUGUAUAAAAAAUUAUCCAAACAAAAUUAUACACGAGUCUCAAUUCGUAUAUAACCCAAGAUUUACUCGAAAUUGGUAGACCAAUUUGCACAUUCUUGGAGAACUUAAAUGAUAUUAUAGACUCUUUUUGGGGGGGGGGGGAAAUUUUCUUAUCGUUAUUAAAGGGGGGAAAAAACUGAAUGUGUUCUUUGUAGAAUCAUACAAUAUCAUUUACAGACAUAUGGACUAUUAACAAUUUAAUUGGGGAAAAAAUGAAGCACUCCAAAUAGGCCCCUCUCCCCUCGGGUUUUGGAUGACGUUAAAGAUAACACUGCAAAUGAUUAAUGAAGAUUUCAUGCUCAGGGAAAUUGGCUUCACCUGACUACAUUUCACAGAAAUUUUUACCCGGAAAAUUAUGUACUUUACUAAUUACUACUCUGUUAUUUGGACAGAAGAUUAUUUGAAAUAAUUAUUAUAUCACUUUUUUGUGAUGUGCUGUGAAUGAAAUAAAAAGAUGUGUUAAAGAUUAUAUUUAUGAUGCAAGCAAAUAAUUUUUGGCUAAAUAAUGGCCGUCCAAACAAAAUAUUAAUGUGGUCGGUCAUAUUAAUUCCUGGUCGUCGUCGUCGUUCGAGUAGCAUGGGGUUCCCUCAAUUUCUUUCGCCUAGUUUAGCAUGAUCAUCCAAAGCUUGCGAGAAUUUUAAUUAUGAAAAUAUCUUUCUUUUUCACACGUACCAGGAAAACAAAAAGUCUUUUCACAUCGAAGAGAGACGUUAUCUAGUUCCACGAGAACAAAAAGAAAAUAAAAGGAAAAAAAAAAUGAAAAAAGCUAAUAGAAAAAAAAAAAAGAAUUUAAGAUAGCAGGGACAAUAUUGUUCAAACAUAUCAUUCAAGGGAGCAAAAUGCCCAUUAUUAUAGUUUAGGAGGUAAACUGCAGUUGGGUAUAUAAUUUGUGUGGGUUUUUUGCAUAUAACCCUAAUUUUUUUGAUAGAUCAUCCAGUUGUUUGUGCUAAUUUAUAGAGGCAAAGGUUAAACUGAUUUCAAAAACCAUCCUUACAUAGCCUAUUAUUAUAAAACCAAGAAACCAAGGCGAAAGGAAGAAAUGCUCGAGUGCUAAAAUCUGAAAGUAUGUUCUCAUCAUAAAAUCAACUUCGACCUGAAAUCCGGUGAACAUAAACAUCAUAUGCUCUUUUUUUUUCGGUUGACUGACAGCAUAUUCCAAAGAAAAAAGAAUAAAACACAGAAGGAACAGAAUGAGGCAUACUCUGAACAAUCUCAAGCUCAUGACCAAGGCAGAAAGCCAAUCUAUUCAAGCUUUGAAUAAAUUACUGGAGGAAAAGAAAUCAGGAGUCUUAAAAGAGCCAAACACGAAUUAAAAUUUGUCAAGGUCAAACUUUGAUUCAGUUGAUCCGCCUUCUGCAGCUUGAGCACAUUUAGAUCAGUAAAGGUUUGUAGCUGACAAGAACAUCAAAUCGACAAAGACUCUAAAUGCUCGUUUGCAUUCCACUUCCAGAGGACCACAGCACCACAAAUUUUAAAAUCAGUUAACUAAACAAUUUUCAUUUAAAAAAAAACAGAAAAUUUUUUUCACAUUCCAUCAGGUUCAUUUUAUCCAACAUGAGGUUACAGCCAAACAAAAACUACUUAGAUGCUUUGCUUGUCUGCAUUCCACAUCCACAGCACAACAACAAUGAAAAUCAGUUAGCUAAACAGAAAGAACUAAAAAUCUGAGAAGUUGUUCCACAUUCCAUGUCCUCCUUUUUCAGAAGUAACUUUCAGACCAAUAUUGACUGUUCCAAAAUUCCAAAGCCAAAUCCAACGUAUCUGAUACAAGCACUGUGGGCCCUUCAACAUUAUCAGCAAGAGAAUCUCGAGCAUGAAAAUGCUCGUAGCUCAAUUACCACAGCCGCGAGUGAAUAGAAAUUCAGAUGUACAAUCAAGAUAUGCCUUGCAUCAGACAAGGCUCAAACAGAACACCAAGAAAGACAGCAAUCAGCAAAUCAGCAGAUCAUGAAGUUUUUACAUCCCAUUAAGCAGGUAUGGCCAGGCAACCAAAGUCUAUGAUGCUUCCAAAAGCAAUUAAAACCACACCACAUUAGCGGCACAACUAAGGGCAAAGAGAUGCACAAAUACCAUAACAAGUAUACUAGUUUUGAAAAUCUUCUCAAUCCCCAUCAUUGAUACAAGAUUCUGCUUAUCGCUCUAAAAUUAUACAGUUCAAGAUAAGGAAUCCUAUCUAAGGUAUUGGAAAAAUUUUCCUUUGGAAAAACUUAUGUCAUCAUUGAACAUGGAUGGUUGAGUGAAACGAGAAUACAGCACAGCGCUGCAUGGUUGACAAUGUCCCUAGUGCAAACUAACUGCAAGAAGUCAAUGUUAAGACGAUCUAUGUCAAAUUUUAACGCAGUUAUGUUGGUGUUCUUUCAUAGCAAGAUUUCCUGCCCAGAGAUAAGGUCUAUUAGGAGCUUCCUCAUUUCGAUAGAGGUAGAGCUUCUUCAAUCCAAAUGACAUUGGAGUAACAUUGUCAAUUAAAUGCAUCUUGCUACAGCAGGAGACGGCAUUUUCUCCACUUCAAGAACUGAAAAAUGUGCAGAAACUCCUAAUAGAGAGUGACGCACAUGCAGGACUGUUUUGGAUUCAUAUCAAAGGGAAGUGCAUCACACGUGCACAAGUUGCUAAUCUUCAACUCAAAUAAGUGAUUAAUGCAUGGCCAAGAUGCAGCUCUCCCUCUCUCUAACCAUCCUUUUAUUUUCUUUUAACAAAAUUUCAUAAAUAGCAUUGAUAGGGGCACCUAACACCCUUCCAUUAUCAUUCCAAUUCUUGAUAAGAAGCUAAUGAAUUCAAGGUAUCAUUCCAAAGGUAUUAUGUUUUCAAUUCCAGAAGAAACCUACAAAAUGCAGUCCGGCUUAUGCUUGCAUUAGAUUUUCCAAAUGUCUGUGAAGGAUGUAGAGGGCACAAACACGUUGACAUAUAAAGUGAACCAAAGAACUAGGGCAGAAAAUGAAUAGUCUGUUGCGUCAUCGUAAUUUAAAAAAAAAAGAAUUAAAGAAGGAAAAGGGUGAAAUAGCUAUAGUGCUCAUCAAGCACAGAUUCAGUAAACAAGCUUAAAAACCAUCAUGUAGCACAAUAGUAAACUAAAUAAAUUGCACUUAGUGUUACAUUAACUUGUAUAAGAGUCUCCUAUAUUUUGAAGGCCAAAAGGAUAAGGAUCAUCUGCCAUGACCUAUAACAUUAUCCCGCAUGCCCUCCAACUUCAGAAUAGAUACCAGAUUUUGAGACGAAAAACAACAGCAAUAGAAAACGCUAACACGCUCUUAAGACAUCAGCAGCCACCACUCAAAUACGGCAACCCACCCAAUUCAAGCUGGACCUAGGGAAAGCGUCCAUUUGGAAAACGAUGUAAUUCGCAAAAGUCCAAGGCAUCGUAUCAUCUCUCGUGGUAGGUCCUACAUACAAGCGUUGUUCCAUUAUUUAGUGUGCUUUAAUGACCACUAUAUCUAACAAAACAUAGUGGCCAUAAACAUUAAGGGUUCAAGCGCAUCGAGUGUAUCACGUAUCACCUGUAGCUGCAUAAUUCAGCGUUUUCCACGAUGCCCGCCACCCGACCUUGCACCAGGGUAGCGAGCAAAUUGCAGCCUUAGACGCACAGAAUCACGGUCAUGCUCGUCGAAUUUAUAACCUGCAAGAUUAAGUUUGUCUAUUUUACGUGUCAUCCCAAGGUUUUUUUUGUUAUUACAACUGUGGGAUAUCAACUCAUUUUCAUAGUUGAAUUAUUGCUGCAUUGGAAACACAUAAACACACUCGUAUAAUAAUGUCCAUUUAUGCUAUUUACCAACUUUCAGCACACUAUGCAAGUCCACCAGAUAGAGUUCCACUAAUCUGUAUGUGCCCAAGGAAAAAAGAUAUCUUAAAUGCGGCCAAAAAAUCUUAUUCUUUUGCUAAAAGAGCUAUUGACUUUAUAUUAUCACCAAUCAACAAUUUCGAUCAUUAUGCAUAGAUAAUUUCCUGGAUUCUAAAGACGAAUAAUCUCACCAAUACCUGUCAUAUUUGAUCUCAAUGUGAAUUUCCCGGAAUGAAGAACAUGAAAUGGCACAACGUGAAGUCAGAAGUGUAAAAAUGAAAACUAAGCUGCACCAUUUCUGAAUCAACCCUAUCUGGAGAUAUAAGUUUCGGUUCAGAACAGACUAGUACAAGAGACUGCAUCCAACAUCAGGCUUGGUGGCACUAGCUGUUAGAUUCAUGAUCUCAGAUCCUGAAUUCACGCCUUCUGCUUCCUUUCUCACUCUUAAAUUGUCAAUAGAAACACAACUUAAAAUGCCAACUAUAACUAAAACCGGUAACCUGGUCAGACUUGCUAGUUGAUUUUAAACUCCAUUGUCAUCAAUACAGUCAUACAUGUCUGAGUGAAUCCAGACACGCAAAAUAUGGUGCUACCAUUUACUGGGUACCAAAUACAAAAAUGGGCACCCUUUGGAAUUGAUCAUCGUCUUAGCAACAUCUCCUAAUAUAAUAGAUGCAAAUUUAUGGCUCAAAAAGGAAAAGUCGUGAUAAUAUUAGUCCAACAGAUAAAAUUGGGCUUGCGUUGGUAACAAUAGUGGAGAUGUUGUGAUAAUAUUAGUGGAGCUGAUAAAAACAGAUGGUAUUGACAACAAUAGUGGUUCUUUUCAAUCUUCCAAGAUCUUGUGAGCAAUAGUGUUUCUUUCAAUCUUCCAUGAUUAAGCACAAGUUCAUAAUUAAGCCCAUAAUUCUUUACCUGUUCACUAUUCUUUUCAUGCGGAAAUGGUGUAACAAGUAUAACAUUGUAUUUCUUAAUCUUACCUUGUAAUGCAUCCAUUGCAGUAGCUGCAUAAGCUGGACUUGCAAAAUCAACAAAACAAAGGACCAACGGCUCACCUCCAGGCUGCAACAGUUCAUGGAAAUUCAGCGUAGCAGCAUAAAAAUACAUAUACAAAAGCCUUUAUGGAUUCAGGAAGAGGUAUAAAUUAGUGUCUAUACUUACAUGCCUCGAAUCUUUGGUUACAAGCCUCACUUCUUUGUAGCCUACAAAGGGGCGGAAUAUAUCUGCAUACCAGAGUGAAGGAAACCAAAGUAGAAUAGAAAUAUGAAAGCAGUGCUUUGAAAUCCCAAUCACAAAAGGAUACGAGAAACUUCUCGACGUGUGCAAUUGGCAGGCAAGCCCUCCACAAACAGCGUACUGGAAGCAUCAGGAGGAAGAGGAAGUUCAGAUCUUCCACCACCUACACCCAUGCUCCGGCUCUUUGUGCUCAUAGCUAAAUCAGAUCCCCCCAUGCCCACAAUUCGCGGAUCAUCAACAGGAUGUCCACCAAGUCCAUUACUCAUUGAUCUUGCAGACUCCCCACCAGAGUAAGAUGACAAUUGCUGUUGAAUAGCAAAAGUGUGUCAGACACAAGCACAAAUAGGUGAAAUUCACCUAACCUGGCGAUCUAAAUUUGAAGAGUAAAACCUAAUGCCAAAAAAUACCGAGCUACGUAGGUAACGGUCAUAAGAUGCUCCAAUAGGGUCAGUAUCUCUGAUGACACGGUGUGAUACCCUUUCAUCUUCGCGAGCAUAGUAGUUCGACAAUUCAUGGCCACUAGGCACAUCUGCCACAUAAAAAAGAACACAUCAAAGUCAAUCAUAGAGGUCCAAACAUGGUCAGUUUAGUAGCCAAUUUGAAGUAUGGCAUAAUAACUGUAUGCCAUUCAUGUAAAAUAAAAAUUUAUAUAAGAAAAGAAACAUCAACUCUGGAUGCCCUGUUUUCCUAUGUCCUCAUAAUUCCUAACUUUACCAAAAUUAAGCCGGCCACAACAACAGUAAUGAUUGUAAUAAAAAUAGCACGGCAUCUCUUAUUUCUCUUUUCUCAUCCCCUAAAGUGAGAUAAAUUAGUUUUGAUGGGGGUCAACACAAUCAUCUACUCUUAAAAAUAAUCUAUACAAUUGGCUAAAUCUACUUUACCCAAAUUUUCAAGAGCCAUCUUUUGCAUUCACUCGGAAGAAAUCAAAGAUCGCUUUUUUUUCUUUUUUGGUUUUACUGCUUUUGCAAAACACAGUGAUUCUGCAAGUAAUACCCAAACAAAACAAUCCCCAAAACCCUAGCUUAGAGAAAAAAUCGACGAAAACAGGUAAAAUUGGAAACAAACGGUGGAAUAUAUUAUUAAUACCGUAAUCAGAACGAAGACGUUUCGCGACCGGCAACUGAAGAGUCGCCGAGGCCUGCUGCCGGCUGUCGCUGUACCUCCAAUACGCUUCGGCCAUUGAAUUCCGCCCUUAAUUUUUUUUCUUUUCUAAUUAUUUUGAUCGAAGUAAACAGGAAAACCCAAGCGUGCACCUAACAAUCUCUCGAGCGAGCGCUUGUGUUUGUGUUACUGUUAAAACUAGCCCCGGCCGCGCCACGCACCUGCACUAUUUCCUCUUUUUUGCAUUCUCCCUCUCCUUCUUUUGUCCCUGUUAAAGACCGCAGAUUAACGAGAUUACCCUUCGGUUCUUAAUAUAACUAUAUAUAACCAAAAGGUUAAAACAAAAAAUAUAGAUCAAAAAGUUAAAUCGCUAUCCAAUAUUGACCCAUAUUUCUCUGCAUCGAGGUGGUGGUCGGAUGGUAAAGAAAGUAGUUAAAUUAAAUCCAGUCAAAAUCAAUCAUUUAGAAGGAUUUUAAUAAAUAAUUAAUACCUUAAAAAUUUUAUGGGGUAGUUACAAUGAAAUCAAGAAAUUUUUUUAAAAAUAUUUUUUAAUACAUGAUGUAAUUUAAGUUGUAUUAAAAAUUAAAACAAUCUUUUCAUUUAUGUGAUUUGAAAUACGAAUCCUACUUAUAGAAAAAAAUUAUAAAUAAGUUAGAAUUAAAUAAAUUAAUAAAAAAUAAUUUAAUGACCAGAUAUACAUCUAAGAAUAUCCUUUUUUUUUGUUAGAAUAUCAUUCGUUAUAUUAAGAAAUAGUUGUUAUAUAUCUACAAAAUUACUCGUUAUUACAUUUAUAACCGUUCAUAUUUUCAUAUUUUUACUUUUUAACGUCAUUUAAUUUUUUAUUAUCAUUGUAAACUUCACAAGUAGUGUAACAUAAGGGUUGUGUUAGAAUAAAAUUCUUAUAUUUAUUGCAUUUCUAAUAACAAAAAAAUCAAUCCCAAAGAGGUACGUGAGAUUUUGAAAACCUAAGUGGUGCUAAGUAAUAUUAUAAAAAAUGUCAAGGAAGGUUUUAGAAAUUAUCCCUUUAGAGACACAAGUUUAUUAUUUGCAAUAAAAUUUUCCACGCAUUUGGGAUUGCAAUUCAAAAACCGAAAAAAAAGUAGAAUAGGAAAAAAAUGACAAUUCAUUAGGAUUAAAAAGUAUAUAUGAAAUUGGUUUUGUGGUGCCUCUAAAAUUUUUCUUCAAUUCUUUUUUUUUUUUCAAAAUUUGUUAAAGAAAAAAAUGCCUUUUUUAAAAUGUUAUGUUUACCCUAAUUCACCACCAAGCUAUUAAUACAAAAGAAGGUUCACCCUCUAUUUUGAGGAGGAAAAAAAAUUUUUUUUUUUUUGGGUAAUGCUUUUUAGUAGCUUCAUGUCCGUCAAAUUUUAAGAUAAUAAAUCUCAAUACUCUAAUGCUUGAUCGUAUAGAGUGAGAGUUUCAGCUCUUCAAUUUUUUCAGAUAAUUUGUCUCAAAUGUUGACAGAAAUACACCGUAUGCAAUUGCAUGGGAGAUCCGUCACCUUGCUCACUAGCCCCAUUGUAAUCAAGGCAGAUUUCGGUCUGCCAUUCCAAGCCAAAGGCCAAACUGCGAGCAUAACUCAUAACCCCGAGCACCGUCUCGUUAUCAAUUUUUGCACUAGCGGAACCAAAUCAUUUGUCAACUGUAAUGUCAGCUCAAACGCUCGAACUAUUAUAGAAAUCAGUAGGAAAAGACGGAUAAACACUGACUGCAAAUAUUACAAGAAACUAAUCUGACAAAGUUUGUCUAUCAGAUUAUUUUUACAAUUUACAACAUCUACGACAAUCUAAAGCUCUUCUCUCAAAUAACCAGGACCAGGAUUGAAUGGAUCGGACUCCAAGUAUGCUUCUGGACGAGACGUCCCAGCAUCAUUCAUUCGAUUGCUCAGUACAUGAAGGAUAGCCUUCUUUGCACCAUAUU
rnacentral:lncRNA from 1 species